UACGCAGGGUGCAAACGUUGCUCGGAAUUAUUGGGCGUAAAGCGCACGUAGGCGGCUAUCUAAGUCGGAUGUGAGAUCCCUCGGCUUAACCAAGGAAGUGCACCCGAAACUGGAUAGCUUGAGUACAGAAGAGGAUCGCGGAAUUCCCGGUGUAGAGGUGAAAUUCGUAGAUAUCGGGAGGAACACCGGUGGCGAAGGCGGGUCUCUGGGCCGUAACUGACGCUGAGGAGCGAAAGCAUGGGGAGCGAACAGG
rnacentral:rRNA from 1 species